GAUGAACGCUGGCGGCGUGCCUAAUACAUGCAAGUAGAACGCUGAAGGAAGGAGCUUGCUCUUUCCGGAUGAGUUGCGAACGGGUGAGUAACGCGUAGGUAACCUGCCUGGUAGCGGGGGAUAACUAUUGGAAACGAUAGCUAAUACCGCAUAACAGUAGAUGUUGCAUGACAACUAUUUGAAAGGGGCAAUUGCUCCACUACCAGAUGGACCUGCGUUGUAUUAGCUAGUUGGUGAGGUAACGGCUCACCAAGGCGACGAUACAUAGCCGACCUGAGAGGGUGAUCGGCCACACUGGGACUGAGACACGGCCCAGACUCCUACGGGAGGCAGCAGGAGGGAAUCUUCGGCAAUGGACGGAAGUCUGACCGAGCAACGCCGCGUGAGUGAAGAAGGUUUUCGGAUCGUAAAGCUCUGUUGUAAGAGAAGAACGAGUGUGAGAGUGGAAAGUUCACACUGUGACGGUAUCUGACCAGAAAGGGACGGCUAACUACGUG
rnacentral:rRNA from 1 species